rnacentral:lncRNA from 1 species
UCCAAAGGUGAGAUGUAGGAUGGGUUGGCGGGGUAUAAUGGUGUCGGAUGCCCCUGAGACCAAGCCCGAUGCAUUUCGGCCAUUUGCUCUUUCAGUUUUCACAUCUCUUAUUUCAUAGCACCCACAUCUGUUACCUCAACUUCAUUUGUAGGGUCCACAAUACUGAUGUCUGAAUCCUGUGCUAUCAGGUCUACUUUAUCUUUCGAUCAGAUGUUCUACGGAUAGGUUGCCAUAAUGCCGGAUCAACUAACCACCUGUUUGUACUCACACAUUUGAACAACAACUUUGUUAGUGAUUAGGCUUUAACAGAUUUGAUAACUGCACGUUGGCAUGAAUGCACUUAUACAAUUAACCAUCUCUAUUAUGCAUUUGCUCGACUGCAUGCAUCAUCCCAGCCUUUUAUUUUUCCACCACAACUUUCUUUUCAUUUUCUCUUUUCUUUUUAUUUUUCACUCCUUUUCAAUUCUCUUUCUUUCUCUUUCUUUCUUUUCCAUUUUCUUAUCCUAUCCCUUCUUUGUUUUUUUCGCUCUUUAUUUUCUCUUAUUUACUCUCAUUUCUUAUUUUCAUUCCUUUUUUCCUUGUUUUUCCGCUUUUCUUUCUUUUUCAUCCUUCUCUAUUUUCGUCCCCCUGCGUUUUUUCAACAAUUACGGUUGAAUUUUUAACAAUUACGCUUGCCUACGUAUCGUGACCCCACACGAAUUAGACCAGGCGUAGUUCAUGCAAAUAAAUUUGAAAAUAAAGAGUAAAACAAUUUUUGGGAAUUUUUAAUUUUCAUUACAAAAACAAACUAUUACAAACUAAACACUUUUGCAGAAAGGAAAUAAUAGACACAAACUAACACCAAAAAAAUAAGUCCACAACUGCAUGCAAAGUUUGACACAAAAGACAACGGACAGACAAACAUCAGACAGAAAAUAAGAAAAUACAGACGCAAAUUAUGCAUACUCUAAUGCUUCAAUUGUGGGUGCCCGUGGGGCAUCGUUCGGCCUUCCGCGGGCUUAGGUUCCAAAUCAUUUUCAAGUUUUUCUAACUCAUUCAUGGUCUGCAUCACACAGAUUAUCACUGCUGAGACGAAAGUAGUGGGAGUCAUGUCUUCACAUGUAUGACAUCUCCUAAAACUGGCGUGAGCAAUGGCCAUGAUCUUGUUUCUUGUUUGCUUCUAUUCUAUAAGCAGGCGUUUUAUCCGAUUACUUCAUGUCUUUAACGCCUGAGAAUCCUGCAGAUGUUGUUUCUGAAACUGCUGCACUUCCUCCUCCACUUGGGCCAACAGGUCGUAACAUUGUCCACUUUCAAUUUAAAAAUUUCUAGCCAGCUUAACCGUUUUAUCCUCAAGAGUGGCCAUCUUUCUCUUCAAAUUGGCAACGGUUUUCUCGUGAUCCCUUUUCAACUGCUGUAUGUACCAAUUGCGCUCCUCCGUUCUUUUCUCCCACUAUGCCUUGAGUUCUACUAUGAUAUUCUCACAUUUCUCCAAUUCUUCCCGGCACUCACUGAUUUCAUUCUGCAACCCCUUUAUCAAGCGCUCAUCCGACCGGCUCCUCGGUUGUUUACCAGCGACUAUUCUCAUCCGCUGGAUUUGGGCCCUAAGCACCUCGUUCUCUUGGGCUAACCUAUUCUUUUCUCCCUGAUCAAACGGCAUGCACAUUGUUUUCAAAUUACAGGUUCUCAAUCUGUUGCUUUAGUUUUCCUAUUUAUGCCUUGUAACUUUCUUCUUUUGCUAGCCAACCCCAUUGUUCUUGCUUAUAAUCCGUGAAUUGUUGGACUUGGGAUCUUUUAGCGGGCCUCUGAUGAAUCUGGAACCUUUUCCCAAACCAUGCACUAUACUUCGGAUCCACCUCACCUUUAGCUAAAUUUCAUACCAUAGUUUUAGGCUCAAGGAAUCUGCAUUCACUCCACCAGUUGCGAAUUUCAUCUUCCGGGAACGUGGCUCUCGGACUUAACUUGAUGACAUGCUUGCUCAAAUCUUUGUCUUUAGGGACAAGUUGGAACCUUCCGAAUAGUCACAAUACCCGAUGGGGAGCAUAUGGUUGGAUGCUCGGGAUACCCACCAACAAACAAUAACACUCUCCCGCUGCCAUGUGUACCAUCUCGGUAAUAGAUAACAACCCGAAUGCCUACUCAAUUUGUUCUACCGUAAGUGACCUCAGUCGUACAAACCAAUAUUUAGUACUCUCAGUGAAUGCAACACCCGUUACCCGCUUUUAAAAUUAUUCAAUACAACUUAAACCAGUCAGCCCAUAGGUCAUAUACCCCACUCGAUGGCAAAGAUGUUCUUGCAUCCACAACUAAAGUAAUAAAUUGCAUCAGUGGAAAAAAACCUCCUCCUUCCUUGCUCAUAGUCAAUGCUCGGUACAUUUCUGACAAGAUCAGGGGGGAAGGGGAAACUACAGUGCUAUCAACCCUCUUAAUUUCGACAUCAACCAUCCCCAUAAUACCUAUCUCUAUUUUCAUAUCUUCUCGUGGACAGACUACGAUUCCCAAGAAUGCCGUUAUGAAUGCCAAAGUGCAUCUUGCUUCCCAUUUACUUCUGCUUCCAGAAUGAGUCAGCCCCAAAUUUGGUUCUUUGAAACCCCGUGGAGUACCAUAACGCUGAUAUAGGAACUGAAGAGCACAACAUCCCCCUGACAAAUUAUCAUUUUGCACGGUCUGGCUAAUAUUUAGAAAAUCCAAAAAUCGAUGCGGAGAUACCGACCUUGGUGACAUUAGAUAUUGACCCCUCAAAUUUCCAUUCAACCAUGCAUAACCUGCGAUUUCCUCCAGCGUGGGUGUAAGCACAAAAUAUGCAAAGCGAAAUACAUUACGGGUUGGGUCUCAAAAUGGUAUCAAAGCCUCGACGAUAUCCGACCUUGCCCUGACAUUUAGUAGACCUAUGAGACCUCCCAAAACUCUGGCCACUAUUUCUUCGCUGCUUUUUUCCAAAUCGUUCCACCACACAUGGAGCAUAAGGGGGACCUCACUGGAGACGGUGAAAGGUUUGUUUUUAUUUGUGCUCAUCCUGCACAUUUAUUAAGGCGAUUAAAAGGAGUAAACAUUUUAUUCGAUUCAAAACAAAGCUACUAUAUUUGCAUUACAAAUUAAAAAUGAAAGACUCGUUUUUUCACACACGGCCUUUCAGCACUUCGGAAACGAAGAUUUUAAGCCUGUAUAGAUUAACCGGUCCAAAUCCUAAAAUUGACCAAAGGUGGUCAUUUAUGCACAGUCAGCCUUCCGGCGUACCUUUUGGGAACAUUCGACUGUGAUUGACAAAACGGCAUCACCCGACUUAUUUAUGACAAAAAUUAUAAUUUUGACAUUUUUUGGCUAUUUUGCAAAAGGGGAGGUUCGACCGGAUGAGGGUUGCCUACGUAUCUCACAUCCGGUGAAAAUCAAACCUGCGUAGUUCGGGCAAAACUAACCGAACCAUUUUAAAACAGGACUCCUUUUGUAUUUUCUUUUUUGGCAUUACAAAAAAAAAAUUACUUUUAAAACAAGACUUUUUUUCUUUUCUUUUCAACAAACAAUAAAACAUCCUAUUUUUCCAAACCUAAAAAUAAAAGACUCUUUUUUGUUUUCUUUUUCAACAAACAAGGAAACAACCUAUUUUUCUUUUUUUGUUGGCAAAUAAGCUAUUUUGAAAACCAAAAAUCAAGACUGUUUCUCUUUUUCCAUUUUUCAUGGAAAAAGAAACUAUCUUUCCUUUUCCAUUUUUUGAAAACAAGAGAAACUAAAAUAAAAGACUCUUUUUCACUUUUUUUUUCUGCUUUUCUAUAUAAAACAUAAAAUAUUUUUUUAUUCAAAAUUCCAGCAUAGUUUUGACAGUAUUCGGGCAUUGUUUUUUCUUUCUAAAACGGGCAAUUAACUCUCUACACUGUUAUUUCUCUUUUUUUCACAGUUUUUUGAUAUUCCCGGGGUUUAGAAGCCGGUCAGCGUUCUAGUCCAAACAAAUAAAUGCAUAGAAAACAAGUAGGAUAUAUCAAGAUGGUCUUUUUCAUUUCAGGUUGCUAGCCCUAGAUGGACCAACCCAUGUGUUUGUCCCUAAGUCAAAAUGUAUAUGAUGCAAAUAAGCGUUCCUACUAGGGAUCCGGCAUGAAGUUGAGUUAUUCGAGGUUCAGAACUUGGGUGUUUAUUCUAGACCUGGCUUACCCAAUCGGACAGCUCGAGCCGAAGGUGAGGCAGCGUACUUGGAAUAUAGAAGCUUCACUGGCUUUGCAACUUAUCCAAAUCUCGUUCUAAAUUUGGAAUUUGACACAAUACAUAAAAGAAGUCACACGAAGUGCACCCUUCUUCAUGAUUUAGAAGACUUAGAGAGGAGAUGGGUUUCGGCACAGUUUAUAUACAAUUCACGGAAUAUCAAAGCAGUAAAAGCAAUCAAUUAGCACUUAAAGCGCAGAUCAUGUAACAAAAAAGAUAAAGCCAAACACAACAAUUAUUCUAAGCUCGAAUUAUGAACCGUGAACAAAACGUUCUGUGUUCUUAUCCCCAACAGAGUUGCCAGAGCUGUCACACCUUUUUUUCACCACACCCGCAAGGGCAUAAAGGAGUUUUUCCACUUAAAGGACAAUCACAACGGGAUUUAUUUAUUAAAUUUCAGAGUCGCCACUUGGGCGAUUAAUGGUGUCCCAAGUAAGCGGUUGAAUCCCGAACCGAGGAAAAAUACGACUCUGUUAACAGUCCGUGAACCAGAAAUCCGGAUAAGGAAUUCUGUUAACCCGGGAGAAGGUGCUAGGCAUUCCCAGAUUCCGUGGUUCUAGCAAGGUUGCUCAACCGUCUCGUUUAGCUUAUUUACCUGAUUAUAUUACAUGAAGAGCCUAUAUGCCAGUUUUUACCUUUAACUUCUUUUACUAAAAAAUUUUAGGAAAGUUGAACGUCGUUUAAUACUUGUCUUUGGAUUGCAUCACAUGAAAUGCACCCCCAACCCUAAACACAUUUUAUUCAAGCUAUUAGGAUUUGAUUUGGGCCACAUGAAAUGCACACUCGAGUUUAGGAAGGUAAAAUUAUUAAAUACGCGCCUAAUGCAUCUAACACAUUAUCAUCUUUUGGGAGGGCCGUGAAAUUCGCUAGACGGCCCUUCCUGAUUUUAUGAGUAUUAUUUUUUUACCUUUAUUGAAGGCCCCGUAGUUUGGUAUUUCAUUGGGUAAGGCUCAUCUCGUUUUUAUUUUUAAAGGCACGCCUAAAGCGAGUAUAUUUUCUAUUUUUGGUUUGUCUCUAAAAGAAAAGAAAGGAUCCUAAUGAAUUAACAUGAAAGUCCGGGUUUCAAGUUCAUAUCCGGGCCCAAACAAAAGGAAGAACGUCUUAAUUUGGACUCGCUACCUAACUCAAAACCCAAACAUCAUUUAUAAAGUAUAAAAUAGCAAGAAUUUUAAACUAGCAUGAAAUCCAAAGACACAUAAGAGCAAUUGUCAAAACAAGCCUUGGCCCAUGUCUGUGUAUGAAAGAGAACGUAACCAGACCUGGGCCUGCGUGGCCGAAGGCUUGAAGCCCAAACGGCUUGAUGGCAAUUAGAGGCCUCGUUCAAUGAGGUAUGGAAUUCAAUUCCCCAGACCCACAAACGAGCUUUAAAUAUGGUUUGGGCUAAAGUUCCUUAUCCAAACAAAUUAUUGAACAUCAAUUCCAUACUAAUUAUAUUUCUCUACAUGAAUUAGUUCAGCACUAACACUUGCAGGAAAAAAUUAAAGAUAUUAAACUCAGUGGCCUUGAAUGUUUGAAUAAGCUCACUUAUAUGAAACUAUAAUUACUAAACCCUUUCAUUCAUAUUUUUAAUUUUCCCAAUUUCACUUCACUAUUCAACUUGGACCAAAACACUUCUUAACUUUUGGCUAGUGACUCAUUCAAAUGCUCACAAGUAAUUGUAAUAUCAACUCAUAACUCACAGAUUAAGUAGAGAUCCAGAAUAGUCCUAUUUUACAAUUCGUGGCAUCCUUAUUACAAAUCAGAAACAAUGUGCCUUAGGAUCUAACCAAAUGAUUCAGAUUUAACUGUUUCAACUAUACAAACCAUACAAAUUUCAUACUCAACUACUGGAUAGAAACUUGAACAAUCAUUCAAAUAGUGCUUGGUCAUUCAAUCUUCAAAUCAGAUUUACAUGCUCUUUCACAUUUCAUAGGAAAAGUAGUAGAGGUACCAGGAAUUGAAUUGAAAUUAGAGGAAGAGAAGUCAGCCACAGAGGAAUAACCAGCAACAACGAGAUUUUAGGCAGCAAACACAGGAAGUUGAGAGUAAAACAGACUAGAGAAAUCGAGCACAAGGAAAUUUCCAAAGGUCCCAAAUUUACUUUAAAUCCACCACAAUAACACAAGAAUGAUACUAGUCGUCAAAUAAACCCACUGAAUUGACCAGUAGCUCCAGAAUCUAACAGUGAUCAACAACUCAAAAAUCAACUUGUGUAACUGAAUCUCUAAACUAAAUGAUGAAAUCUUAAAGCUAAAAAAAAACUUGAGUUCAAAUUGAAACUCUAAUAAAACAGUACUAUUUUUUGUAUUUUGGAAUUUCUUGAUUUGUUUUUAAUUUUUUUGCUGAGUUCAGCUCGUUCUUCAGAUGGAAAAAUAGGCAGUUUUCUUAAAGAAUUCUAAUGGCUUAAGAGAAGACCCCCUUUCAUAUGGCAAUGCAAUGCCUAUUUAUAGGUAAAUAAAUAACUCCUUAUUUUUAAUUCAGUCUCUGACUUAAUUAAUUUUUACCCCUCUGUAUUUCUAACUUUUCACACAAGAAAACACUACAAUUUUUCAUAAAUUACUUAAAGAGCCCUGUCUAGAAACUUCAAGGUAUUCUAAGUUUUUCUUGUACCUACCAAUUACCUAGAAUGCCCUUGCACAGUAAUUACCACUAAUCAUCCUUUACCAAAAACCCAUUGAGUAAGAUGAGGACUAAUCACUUUCAAAACAGCCUAAAUAUAAAUGAAACCUAACAAGAAGAGCAGAUUAUAUGAAGGAAAUUCAACUAAGCCAAUUGACUAUUCGGGUACCUAACAAUCAAACUAUUUAAACAAAGCAUCAAAAUUAAUCCAAACAUACAAUUAGUGGAACGAACUAAUCUGACAAUUUAACUAACUAAUUACAAAAUUCAAGUCAACUGGAAUUAAAAACAAAGAAAGGUCCCAUAAUUUACAUAUGCAACUAAACAGAGAGAAAAACUGAAAUAAAAAAGAAACUAGAAAGCUCACUGCUGAAUAAGGAAACUCCUGGCAGUUUAUCCACUUUGCGAUUUGACCAUUUCUUGCAGGCAUUGGACGUUAAGCCUAUUGAAAUCCUCAUCAGGACAGCCCAACGAACAUCUAGUAUCAACUUGGGCUGAAUUGGGCCUACUAGGGUUUUUGCCGGAAAACUUGAAAUGGAUAUUCGAGCCGUUCUGGCCACAUUCGAGCCAAGUGGCUAUGGGGUUGUGUAGAGAAUGGCUGGGCAAGACUAUGGGGUAAGUUUGGAACCUUUUGGCGUAAGUCUCAUCGUUUCCGGAAAUAUUCCAUCGAAGAUUCGAGGUGAUAGGGAAAGAUUCGAGGGAGAUUACCAUGGGGGAUGGAAAGAGGAUGGGAAGGAGCAUUUAUGGUGUUUUUAUGAUGGACAACGGCAUGCGGUGCGUUUUCCACCGGGGAGGAUUCCGGCGAGGCUCAUAGAGAUACGAGAAAGAUCGCCUUUUUCCUUUUGAGUUUUUUAUUAAACCGACCAUCUAAUAUAUUUACCCACAAGCGAUUAAGGACCGUUAGAUCAAGAACGAUUGAGGUCAAAGGACGCCCAACGAUGCCGCUUUGGUUCGCCUUCGAGAAUGGACCGG